rnacentral:rRNA from 1 species
UGGCUCAGAUUGAACGCUGGCGGCAGGCCUAACACAUGCAAGUCGAACGGUAACAUUUCUAGCUUGCUAGAAGAUGACGAGUGGCGGACGGGUGAGUAAUGCUUGGGAACUUGCCUUUGCGAGGGGGAUAACAGUUGGAAACGACUGCUAAUACCGCAUAAUGUCUUCGGACCAAACGGGGCUUAGGCUCCGGCGCAAAGAGAGGCCCAAGUGAGAUUAGCUAGUUGGUAAGGUAACGGCUUACCAAGGCGACGAUCUCUAGCUGUUCUGAGAGGAAGAUCAGCCACACUGGGACUGAGACACGGCCCAGACUCCUACGGGAGGCAGCAGUGGGGAAUAUUGCACAAUGGGGGAAACCCUGAUGCAGCCAUGCCGCGUGUGUGAAGAAGGCCUUCGGGUUGUAAAGCACUUUCAGUUGUGAGGAAAAGUUAGUAGUUAAUACCUGCUAGCCGUGACGUAACAACA